rnacentral:rRNA from 1 species
GAUGAACGCUGGCGGCGUGCCUAAUACAUGCAAGUCGAGCGAACAGAUGAGGAGCUUGCUCCUCUGACGUUAGCGGCGGACGGGUGAGUAACACGUGGAUAACCUACCUAUAAGACUGGGAUAACUUCGGGAAACCGGAGCUAAUACCGGAUAAUAUAUUUAACCGCAUGGUUCAAUAGUGAAAGACGGUUUUGCUGUCACUUAUAGAUGGAUCCGCGCCGCAUUAGCUAGUUGGUAAGGUAACGGCUUACCAAGGCAACGAUGCGUAGCCGACCUGAGAGGGUGAUCGGCCACACUGGAACUGAGACACGGUCCAGACUCCUACGGGAGGCAGCAGUAGGAAAUCUUCCGCAAUGGGCGAAAGCCUGACGGAGCAACGCCGCGUGAGUGAUGAAGGUCUUCGGAUCGUAAAACUCUGUUAUUAGGGAAGAACAAAUGUGUAAGUAACUAUGCACGUCUUGACGGUACCUAAUCAGAAAGCCACGGCUAGCUACGUG